rnacentral:RNase_P_RNA from 3 species
CCUGCCCCCCGUAGCUCCGUAGCGAACGAAGUGAGUGAGGAGCGGAGGGGGGAGGAACGUCCGGGCAUCACUGGAACGCCGAGUGGGUAACGCCCAUCCGCCCGCCAUAUAUCCGGUAAAGGCGGGUGCGGAAUAGUGCCACAGAGACGAGCCCCUGCGCCCCCACGUGGUACAGAGGAGUGAAACGCCUCGGGAACCGAGGACGCGUACCCUCGCGGUACGCGGCGGCAAACUCUCGGUGAUGCAAGGAGGAUUUGGGUCGUCGGAUCUCGCAGUGGUUCCGCUGCACCGACCACCCCUCCGCUCGAGACCGCGGGCAACCGCGGCCCUAGAGAGAUGGUCACCUUCGGCCCCGCAAGGGCAACCGAAACAGAACCCGGCGUACGGGGGACAGGCGUG